UACGUAGGGUGCAAGCGUUGUCCGGAAUUAUUGGGCGUAAAGGGCUCGUAGGCGGUCCAUCGCGUCGGGAGUGAAAAGCUGGGGCUCAACCCCAGUCCUGCUUCCGAUACGGGUGGACUAGAGGUAUGCAGGGGAGAACGGAAUUCCUGGUGUAGCGGUGAAAUGCGCAGAUAUCAGGAGGAACACCAAUGGCGAAGGCAGCUCGCUGGGACGUGACUGACGCUGAGACGCGAAAGCGUGGGGAGCAAACAGG
rnacentral:rRNA from 1 species